CGCUGGCGGCACGCCUAACACAUGCAAGUCGAACGAAGUAGCAAUACUUAGUGGCAGACGGGUGAGUAACAUGUGGGUAUCUGCCCUUUGGCCUGGAAUAACACGAGGAAACUUGUGCUAAUACCGGAUAAGUCUUUACGGAGAAAGCUUUAUGCACCAUUGGAUGAGCCCGCACUUGAUUAGUUAGUUGGUAGGGUAAUGGCCUACCAAGACUGUGAUCAAUAGCUGAUUUGAGAGGAUGAUCAGCCACAUUGGGACUGAGACACGGCCCAAACUCCUACGGGAGGCAGCAGUGGGGAAUCUUGCACAAUGGAGGAAACUCUGAUGCAGCGAUGCCGCGUGAGUGAAGAAGGCCCUUGGGUUGUAAAGCUCUUUCGUCGGGGAAGAAAAUGACUGUACCCGAAUAAGAAGGUCCGGCUAACUUCGUGCCAGCAGCCGCGGUAAUACGAAGGGACCUAGCGUAGUUCGGAAUUACUGGGCUUAAAGAGUUCGUAGGUGGUUGAAAAAGUUGGUGGUGAAAUCCCAGAGCUUAACUCUGGAACUGCCAUCAAAACUUUUCAGCUAGAGUAUGAUAGAGGAAAGCAGAAUUUCUAGUGUAGAGGUGAAAUUCGUAGAUAUUAGAAAGAAUACCAAUUGCGAAGGCAGCUUUCUGGAUCAUUACUGACACUGAGGAACGAAAGCAUGGGUAGCGAAGAGGAUUAGAUACCCUCGUAGUCCAUGCCGUAAACGAUGUGUGUUAGACGUUGGAAAUUUAUUUUUC
rnacentral:rRNA from 1 species